UUUCAGGCUUUAACCAGUCUGUUUCAGGCUUUAACCAGUCUGUUUAACCAGUCUGUUUCAGGCUUUAACCAGUCUGUUUCCAGGCUUUAACCAGUCUGUUUCCAGGCUUUAACCAGUCUGUUUCAGGCUUUAACCAGUCUGUUUCAGGCUUUAACCAGUCUGUUUCAGGCUUUAACCAGUCUGUUUCCAGGCUUUAACCAGUCUGUUUCAGGCUAUAACCAGUCUGUUUCAGGCUUUAACCAGUCUGUUUCAGGCUAUAACCAGUCUGUUUCCAGGCUUUAACCAGUCCGUUUCAGGCUUUAACCAGUCUGUUUCAGGCUUUAACCAGUCUGUUUCAGGCUUUAACCAGUCUGUUUCCAGGCUUUAACCAGUCUGUUUCAGGCUUUAACCAGUCUGGAAACUAAAC
rnacentral:lncRNA from 1 species